ensembl:lncRNA
GCAGUUUUCAAAAUAAUGUUUCAUUUAUUUAAGCAUUAACAGUAAUAAUCAGAAGUAAAUACAUUGAGGAAUGUCUGUAUGCCCUAUGAAAGGGUAACAGCCAUAUUUCUCCACAGCAUUUAUAACAAUAAAUCAUUAUUAUUGCUUUAUCUCUAAAUAGAUACCUUCAGUCAUCAUUAUUCUUUCCUUAUGAUUCCCGGUGUCAUUUUGAGUCAUUUUAAGGGAGGAGUAUUUAUACAUACAAUAAGAUUGUGGCUACCCAGUAAUCUUCCCAUGUGACUGGUGAAUGUUCAGCCACAAAUAUUUACAACACUGUAAAAAUCCACCUUAGAGUUUGUUAGACAAACUAAAUGUUGGCUGAACUUGACUAGAAAAAGCUGAUUACAAAACAAACUGACAGUGAAUUUUAGCAUUAGACAUUUAACAUUUCAAACACAGCUAAUAGAAACAUACAACAUGGUUGUGAUGUGAUUAAAUGCUUGUUGUGUUACUCGUUUGUAAAUAGCUUUGGAUAUAUAAAAAUAGUUUAAAUAGCUAAUCUUUUGUUGUACUGUUGAUGGUGGUUGUAUUUACUGAAUUGGGGUCUUAUCGCGAUUUGCUGUAUGUUCUGCAUAAGUAGGCCUAUUAUAGAUCAUUUAAUGGAGAUACUCAAUAUUUUUUUUAUCCAGUGCACGCUGACACGCCCCCUUGUUUCCGUGGAGCACUACGCAGUUUCACUUUCACUUUCACUUAAAAACAAAGGACAGUCGUUUCUGUUUGCUGCAGUAUCUCACCCUGGCGAACGCAUUUAUAUAAUCCUCAACAGUGUUAAGAUGGACAUGAAGGAAAUGGUUAUUGAAGUGAAUGGACUUCCAGACAACUACUCCAAUAAUGAAAUGAUUGACAAAUUAACCAUGCACUUUUUGAGGCCCAGUAACAAAGGUGGAGAGGUUUUAAUAGUGAUUUAUCCCACCUCCAACAAAGGCCAGGCUUAUGUUGUUUUUGAAAAAGAAGAAGUACCAGGGGUCUUGGAACAUAAUCAUGUUUUGGAACUGGAUAGUCAGUUUUACCCACUGGAUGUUAAAAAGAUGCAUCAGCCUAAAGUAAGACAUUUCAUUGGUUAACGUCACUGAAUCACACAGAAUUAUGUGAUUUACAACUUUAGUAUGCAGCAUUCCUCCCAUAAUCCAGUCACUGCACAUUUUUAAUAAUUACCAUUUUCCUAACAUCUUAUUUAAUCUGAAUAUUUAUCUUCUGUGGGUCCCAGAAGAUAAAACCGCAAAAGAUAAAAGUAUUUACACAAGAAUUUACAGAAGAUAUAUAAACAUAACUAUAAACUAUAAGAAAUAAAAUCAAAUCAAUUAACA